CUCUAGCCCACGGCUCGACUUCCUUCAGGAGGAAAGGCUAAGAAGAGGGGUUCAGCUCUCGGGAGUCGAGGUGUCUGGGCCAGCCCCUCCAGCAGCCCUCUGCAACAUGUCCAGUGCCUCCCAGAAGAAAUCUUUCUGGGCAGCCAUCAAGGGCAUCCAGCCCACAAUCUCCUUCAUCUUCUCCAUUCGGUCCUGCAACGUGGGGCAACUGUGGAUCUGGCUGAGACUUUGGAGAGAAGGGAGGUUAAGUCCCGUGGUCCACCUGGCUCUAGUGUUCUACCCUCCCUGAGGCCUGCCUGCUUGCCCGACCCUGCUCUGACCUUGAUGUGCAGCUUGACGAAGGAGGCGCUCCCCUUGGGCCAGCCAGGAAGACGGCCUCCGGCCCCACAGCCGCACCCCAGCAGCUCCUUGCUGAAAUCCGAGGUCUGACUCAGCACCAAGGAAUGGUUGAGGCCACACCACAGGGCGAUGGGGCGUUGCAGAUAGUGAACCUGAGAACGGACAGACAACAUGGCCAGGGGGGUUAAGGUGGGAAUACUAGAGGCCUGGAGGGAAGUGGGGAUCCCAGGUUGGAGAAAGGCUGAAUGGAAGGCUUGGGGCAGAGUGCAGUCUUGGGAGCUGGAGGAAAAGCAGGUCCUGUCCCAGAAAGUCCACCCUGCCCUGAAAGCUGGCAGCUAUCUGUCCAUUCCUGUGCACACAAAGUCUCCCAGAGGCUACAGGGCACUCAACUCCCCAGGACAAGACCAGCUGCCGGGGAACCUGCACACGUUUGCACACACACAUGCAUUCUUGCACAUGCACACACACACACACACACACACACACACACACACACACACACACACACACACACAGAAUAAAAAUACAAAAUACCAAGCAAGGGACAAUUUAAAGGUCAAUCAGGCAUGGGGACGCAGAGGGAUUAAAGUGACUUCCAGUCCAAAUCAGGUUACACAGUGAGCGUUUGUCUCCAAAAAUCCAACUGGAAAGCCCACCACGAACUACUAACUUCUCUAUGGCUGUUCUAUAGUACAGACACAGGUGAACAUACGUGUGUGGUGUUCAGAGGGGCAAUUGUAGCUGUUAUGCUAAGGCCUAGUCUCCCGGGACUCUGAGACAACCUGGAGACUCCUCUGCCUCCCCGUAGCUGGGACUGUAAUCAUGCAUUAUUGUGCCUGGCUUUUUAAAACAAACAAACAAACAAACAAACAAGCAAACCAACCCACCACAUGAUUUCUGGGAAUCAAAUUCAGAUCCUCUUACUAGCAAAGCAAGCCCUGUGCUAAGAUUGCCUUUAUUGUUUCCCUAAAUAAACAGUUUUAUAAGCAGUACUGGGAUUGAAUCUAGUCUCCUGGGUGCCAGACAAGCACUCUGUUACUCAAGUGCGCCCGCAACUCAUUUUUCACUUUUCAUUUUGAGACACAGACUUGAUACAUAACCAGGCUGGCUCUAAGCUCAGUGUAAUGCUGGCUGGCUUUUGGGGGGCUGGAGAGUUGGCUCAGUGGUUAAGAGCACUGACUGCUCUUCUGAAGAUACUGAGUUCAAAUCCCAGCAACCACAUGGUGGCUCACAACCAUUGGUAAUGAGAUCUGACACCCUCUUCUGGUGUGUCUAAAGACAGUUACAGUGUCCUUAUAUUUAAUAAUAAAUAAGUCUUUAAAAAAAAAAAAAAGAGCACUGACUGCUCUUCCAAAGGUCCUGAGUUCAAAUCUUAGCAACCACAUGGUGGCUCACAACCAUCUGUAAUGGAAUCCUAUGCCCUCUAGUGGUGUGUCUAGAGACAGCAACGAUGUACUCACACACAUAAAAUAAAUAAAACCUUAAAAAAAAAUGGAUCUUUUCCCCUUCCCUCUGGCCUGAUUAAACAUUCUGUGUUUUUAAUAAAUGAGGUGAUU
rnacentral:lncRNA from 1 species